rnacentral:lncRNA from 1 species
CUUCCCUGUCUUGGCAGCUGUAAAGGACCUGGCCAGAAUGUGGCUGUGACCAGGGCACACCCUGACUCCCAAGGGAGGCGGCGGCGGCCUGAGCGGGGGGCCCGAGGAGGCCAGGUGUUUUACAACAGCGAGUAUGGGGAGCUGUCGGAGCCAAGCGAGGAGGACCACUGCUCCCCGUCUGCCCGCGUGACUUUCUUCACAGACAACAGCUACUA